GGGGGGGGGGGGGGGGGGGGGGGGGGGGGGGGGGGCGGGGGGGGGGGGGGGGGGGGGGGGGGGGGGGCGGGUGGCGGACGGGUGGGGAACACGUGAGUAAGGUGGCCGGGGCUUUGGGAGGACUUCAGGAGGCGGGGGCGACUACCGGGGAGGAGCGCCGUGUGCAUGGUGGGGGUUGGCAAGUUUCGGCGGGUGGGGAUGGACUCGCGGCUUAUCAGCUUGUUGGUGGGGUAGUGGCUUACCAAGGCUUUGACGGGUAGCCGGCCUGAGAGGGUGACCGGCCACAUUGGGACUGAGAUACGGCCCAGACUCCUACGGGAGGCAGCAGUGGGGAAUAUUGCACAAUGGGCGGAAGCCUGAUGCAGCAACGCCGCGUGCGGGAUGACGGCCUUCGGGUUGUAAACCGCUUUCGCCUGUGACGAAGCGUGAGUGACGGUAAUGGGUAAAGAAGCACCGGCUAACUACGUG
rnacentral:rRNA from 1 species